GGCAACAGAGCUUCCACUGGCUUACGAUGGAGGCUCCAGCUAUACCUCAGAGAAAACAGAGCCUCCCUUCCCCCUUCCACAAAUCCGUGCUACCAAGAGACACUCAGUGCACAGCGAUGGGAACAGACAGUCCUUCUGAACCAAGACUCUCCAGAUCAUGCCAGAACACUGAAGGGCCUUCUGGAGUAAAGGAGAAAAAAAUUAAUCAGGUUAUAUCAGGACCAUCUGGAUUCCAAGUUUAGCUACAGCAGAGAAUUUCAAUGAACACUAUUAAAUUAAUUGCAUGCUAGUUUCACAAAAAAUGGUUUAGGAGUGCAAAUAAGAGCCGCACCCAGAGCCUCCUGUGGAAGAAUGGAAAAAUAUCUGCCCUGUCAGGGAUCAAUGUACACUUGAGGAUUUUAAGGCCAGCAAGAGUAAGCUUGUACAUCCAGCCAGAUCUCACAAAAGAAAGGAGAGAAGGUGUCAUCCCUUCUCCAUCAAGAGCUUCUCAGAAAAAAUUACCAAACUUUUCUUCCAAGUCCUCAAAGAAUUUGUGUAUUUCAGCCAUA